rnacentral:misc_RNA from 1 species
AGCAGCCGCGGUAAUUCCAGCUCCAAUAGCGUAUAUUAAAGUUGUUGCAGUUAAAAAGCUCGUAGUUGAAUUUCGGGAUCAAUUAAUUGGUCGUGCCUCUGGUACGUACUGAUUUUAUUGGUUUCUCCCUUCUGACGAACCAUGAUGUCAUUAAUUUGGUGUCGUGGAGAAUCAGGACUGUUACUUUGAAAAAUUAGAGUGUUUAAAGCAAGCUAACGCUUGAAUACAUUAGCAUGGAAUAAUGAAAUAGGACGUUUGAUCCUAUUUUGUUGGUUUCUAGGAUCGACGUAAUGAUUAAUAGGGAUAGUUGGGGGCAUUAGUAUUCAAUUGUCAGAGGUGAAAUUCUUGGAUUUAUUGAAGACUAACUACUGCGAAAGCAUUUGCCAAGGAUGUUUUCAUUAAUCAAGAACGAAAGUUAGGGGAUCGAAGACGAUCAGAUACCGUCGUAGUCUUAACCAUAAACUAUGCCGACUAGGGAUCGGAUGAUGUUAAUUUUUAAUGACUCAUUCGGCGCCUUACG